ensembl:lncRNA
GAGAAAACAAAUAGAGAGUGCAAGUGUUAGAGAGUAAUACAUAAGCAGGCUUUGUAAUAGGCUAAAUAGGGGGUUGAAUGUUCGUAAAAAAAAAAAGCACCAAAUCUUAAACUACUUAAACUAUAAAACUUAAUCUUUUUAUACUUUUAUACUUAUUAUCACUGUAAAAGUGAUGUUUUAUCUGACUCACGUGCAGGGGUGGCGUUUUUCACCUAUGAAUGGGUCAUGGAACUACGAAAAAAACCUUAAAUUGAUUAUUUAAUAAUUUAAUUAGAUUUAAGUUAUUUAUUAACGAAAUCUUUGUUUAGCCUAUGUAAAUUCCGCGUGCUUUAAUGAGCGCGCGCUGAACAUUGGAGUAGCGUUCAUUCAGAUUCAAACACUGGAGCGGAGGGAGUUGCCAUGGAAACGGGGCGACCGACAACACUGGCAAGCUGCAAGCUCCGUUUCUUGCUGCUGUUUUCACUGCUUUCGUAAGAUUUGUGGCAGUAAAGUAUGUGAUCCUCGGCAGGAAUCAUCUCCUCUAACAUAUGGGUGUCUCCUGGUCCAAAAGGCUUCUCUGUGGGCCAGAGUCUGCUAAGCUAUAAAGGAGGUGUUCCGGACUCACUGCUCUCCUACAGGAUGACAGCUGGUGAGGAGCCGGCCUCUCCAAUGAGGAAACCAGCAACAUGCAAGAGGUGAAAAAGUCUCCGUUUCCUCCUCUCUCCUCUUCCUCCACAGCCAGCUCAUCUUUUGAGAAGCAUUUCUUUUCACAGUGUCUUGUACAGAAGGUCAUUGGCGGAGGAUGUUCUGGGACAAAAAUGUCAAAGAC